AAAAUUCUACCCAAACUCUAAAAAUAAAAUUAGCAAAAACUAAAAUUAAAUUUUGUAGCCACCAAAUUUUGAUAUGCAUCACUCUACCCUGGUUAGAGAAAACUCCUCAUCGAGUUUUAAAAUGUGAUAUAAUCAAAUUUGUAGUAGUCUCGCUGCAUUCUUCAACCUGAAUCUUGAAAAAACAAUCUGCAUUGAUCAAGACACAAUGAUGGUGUACUAAAAUUGUAAAACAAGACACAACGAUGGUGUACUGAAAAACCUAUAGGUUACUGCAUUGAUCAAGACACAACGAUGGUGUACUGAAAUUGUGAAACAAGAUACAAGGAUGGUGUACUCAAAUUGUGAAACCAUUGAGGAAAUGAUCGUCGUAUGUUGAUUUUUUAGCCACAUCAACGUGCUAAAAUUGCUCAAACUUCACCUUGGGGCACACCACGAAUACAUUGGUUUCUUCAUCAUACAUCUCCAUACAUCAGUUUUUUCAUCAUACAUCCCCAUAGGCUGGAUCUCCGUUGAGAUCAAGUAAAUAUCUUGAUUCUCUACUCUCCAGCGAUAAAAAAAUUAGAUAUUAUUGCUGCCUCAAAGAUAAUUUCUUUCUUUUCAUCUUGCUUUUCAUAAAAAACAAGAACAUCAUCAAAGAUGAGGUAACCUGUGACAUCCAAGAAUAAUGAUUGCAAUUGUAAUCCAAAACUACACGUUCUUCAUCUUCAUUAAACUUAGAGAGAUUACUUUCCUGACCAUGAGGAAACAUAUCAUCUCCCAACCAUGAAGCUCCCCCCACAGAGCGUUAGUAUGGAACGAGUUCUUGAAACUAGCAUCCGACUCACUACCAUCAUCAUAGUGUGUCAAAGCUGCCUUCUCAAAUCUCUCGGAGAGCUCAGAGGUUUCAUUUUUGUUGGAUGAGUUGCGUCUCAAUGCCUGGCUCAAUGUCUGGCCAUAGAACUUGUCUACGAGCCAUGAGGCCAAUCGAAAAACACAACGAUCCAGAAUAAUCGGCUACGCUUUGAAUGGGUUGGCGCCGUGCUACCAUUGAGUUUCCCAAAUAGAAAAAAAAACAAAAAACAAACCCUUAGAUCAGAUGGUCCAAAUACUAGAUGACUUUCGACAUUCCUUCAUGCAAAUACAAUAUGCAUAGGAUUUCUCUUCACAAUUUGUUGCCCGGUAGAGGAGUUUACAUCCCCAAAAUUGGAAUCCUAUAAGUACUCCAAGAUAGAGUUUUUACUUCGAAGGAGCAUGUACCCUCGAGAGCAUGAAACUUUUGGCUUCAU
rnacentral:lncRNA from 1 species